GAGGCUUUAUCUUAACUAAAGUACCUGAGUUGCAUUCAGGAGAUGUGGGGUAAUGUUCCGCAAGUCUCA
rnacentral:tRNA from 1 species